CUCCUCAAGGAGUUCUAAAAGCAUUGAAAUCUGAAGAAAAGUCACAUGUAACAGUGUGACUGAACACAGGGAGGCAUUAUGCUAAGUGCAGGAAACACAACACCCACCAAUCCAUCAACUCCCCCUCGUGUACAGAAUGCAAAAUAGCGAAACUCACAGAAGCAGAGAGAAUGGAAGGAACGAGAUGCUGGCGAAGGGUAGAAAAUUUCCGUUCUACAAAGUGAACAGGUUUGGGACGUCUCGUCUGUGGCACGGCAAUUGUAUUUAACAACACGGUAUUGUGCAUUUGCUAUUUGUAAAGAGGGAAGAUCUGCAGUGUCCUUGGCAUACAGAACCAGUAAAGGCAAUCGUGUGAUAUGAUAGACAGAUUCCCAUCACCACGCUGACCUAUUCAUCCCUGUGGUGCGCAUUUUUGUGUCAGAUUGCGUGUUCUGCAUGCUUCGGCUGUGAGUACCCGGGGAUCACAGUGCAAUGGCUGGCUGGGGUUACAGGGAGUAAGCUUGCUCUCUGAGAACUUUACAAGCUUUACAGACAAUGCAAAAACACAAGUAAUCCCCUGACAGAACACUUGCGUCCCUGCCGUGACAGCGCUCCCGUGGACACUGACUGCCGAGAUGAACCUCGUGCGUGCGAAGGGAAGUCCGGCUAGGUUGGAAACAUGACAGCCGUCUCAGGGAUUACUCAAUCAACCCAAUGGGCCAUCGUGUAUGUAAGUGCACCUGCAAAUCAGCCCGUUAAACGGACAAUGCCUGAAGCUGUAGAUACGCCAUCCACACUGCACGCAGCUUUGUUCGUUUGUUUAGUCUGCAGCAGGGAUCCAACUGCCUCUCUUCAGUCCAGAGCGGGGAUGCUGAGACCUUGUACAAACAGCAUGCAACUUUCCAAGCUUCGGGAACGUUCAACUGAAGCUUUGACUGGAAGGAGCCUGUGGCGGUUAGAAUGCCACCCGUUGCUCUGGCCUUGAAGGAACCGCCUUUUGCACAUGGUCCACUAGGUUUCAACAACUGUGGAGUUCUACUGAAAGUCGAAAUUUUGCAGUCAGCUGUCUGGAGCCCUUCCAGACCCAUCAUCCUUCAAGGACCCAGGAGCUACUCCAGAUGGCUGUCGGCAUCCGUCUUUUCACUUCCCAGCCAGCCGUCAGGGGUGGAGGUGGGCUUGUCUGUUUGAGCAUACCCAUCCACUUCCCAAUUCUAUUCAAGGAGUCAUCCUUCCUCCAAAUCCGUGCCCUAGAAUAUCUACCAAGCACGUCCUUCUUCACAAAGGAGCCUGGGUGCAAACAGCAGCAAGCGUGAGGACGGGACAUGUGAACGGCCUGGGUGUGGGCUUUCCCAUCCUCGCCGGAGGUCCACUGAGCCUCCCCGUCUGCAGAUUGGGGCUGAGCGCUGCCGCACAUUGUUCAUAUAAAGAAAAAGCGGCUGUUCCCCCUGACUGGCCCUUCCCCGCUCCCAAUGUCCGUGACCAACAACAGCUCCAAGACUCUAAUUGCCGCAGCCUAUUAGAAAUAAUGAGACUUAACAUGGCAGACGCCAAGGGCAAAGUGACAUCUUGCAACAUGAAAGGUUAAUAUCAACAUAUACGGCUAGGAAGAGCAAAGGGCACAGCAACUGGUAGCUCAUUACGACCAACUAACCCACACCGGGAACAUGUCAGUGCCCCCCACCCCCACGAGGCUUUUGACAGCAAAAGUUACAAAAGAUAGGGACCAGCCUGUGGAAAGCCCUCAACUAAUGAGCGCUGAAAAUCGUUUGAAAUAUCCCGAUGACCUCACGGGCGGUGAUGUUGAUUUACGAUGGCUACAGGAAGCUCCUUUCUUGUCCGGCAGCCCAUUGAGAAGCUUUGCCGAGAUGUAACUAACAGGCCGUGAAGGUGUCUCCAUCUUCGCUGACAUGGUCCGUGCCUUGGGCAAAGCAAACAUAAAAGUUAAGUCCCACCCCACGCAUAGGUUGGAAUUUCGUUUCUAGACACGGUCUGGAGGAAAGAGGGCCCGGAGGGAGCCGUCAGCUACCAUUCCUGCUGUUGCGAGGGGUGUUAGUGAGGAUUUGUGUGACUGACCGCAUGACUGCGCUGGGGGGGAGCCAACAGCGAAUUGAGGUCUUGAACACUUGACAGAGCAAGUCCGCGGCUCUGUGGCGGAAAUUCUAUAGAACUUCGGGUGUAAUUAAGUAAAGUUUCCCAAGCGUCUAUACCCCAGUCACGCAAUGCCAGUAUGUGGCACAGGGAAGGAUUCCCACCACAUCAGAAUGCAUCUAUAAACAAUGGAGACAUUUCAAACGCUUUCUGAGAGGGAGACGUUCACAGAAGACAACAGACCGCUCUGUUAACCAUCAUUUAGAACCUGUGCCUCUGCCAAGAAAUCCCUAUCGUGGACAGCCCACCUGUACCUCACAAGAGAGAUGAGACGUGCAUCCUGUUUGGCUUUCUUAGUUCCUUCUCUAGUAAAACCGGAGUAAUGCCUGCCCACUGGUCGCCUCACUUAGAAUGACAAAGCUCUUUGGUGGCCAGAUCUGCUAUGGAUCAUGGGUAAGCUGUCCCCUCAAUACCCAAAUGGUUGAAUGCUUGGUCCACAGCUGAUGCUAUUAUUUUAGGAGAUUGUAGAGUCUGUAGGAGGAGGAGCCUUGCUGGAAGAUGCGGGUCACCAGGGAUUCAGGUAUUGAGGGUUGUUGCCUAGCCCCACUUCUGAACUCAAGUCCAGUCUGUCCUCUGCUUCCUGACCUAGAAGAUGUGAGCAAGCUACCUCAGCCACCUACAACCAUGGAGCCACCUGCCACUCUCCCCUCCCACAUCCACAAACAUGGAGGCACCUAACUGUGUGCCCUCAAACAGUGAGCCCCAAUAAAUCCUUCCUUUCGGAGCUGCUUUCUGUCAAGACGAGAACAAUAGAAUGCAAAGACUAGUAAAGGACACAUUUUGCAAGACAAAGUGUCUAGUAGUGGUUUAGUAUUGGUCACUUGGGUGGUAAACACUUUUGUAGGAGCAAAUAAAGAUGACUGAUAAGCAGUUACGAACACAGACCCAGUACCGGCUGCAAUGGGGCUAAAGUUGGAUGGAAUUAUAUGAGUGGGGGAUACAGUAGAAAGGCUAAAAUAAAAAUUAUAGAUUAAAUUCACAAAUUGAUCGGGACCCAGCAAAGAGUUUUAAGAGCCAGAAUUCUAACCUUAAUCUACUAUGCACCAAAACUUACAUAUAAUUUUUUUCAUUCUUUGAAACAGACUCCAACACAGUUUAUGGGCAUUGGAUUGAGUCAUUUCCUUGGUUUAGGCCAACCUUAGACUUUCCUCCAUGUAUCUUGACUGCGGAGGCAAGCAAACCCAAGAUGUUACUAUUUCUCUUAAUGUGAAGUCCUACCCUGAAAAGGGAAAACAUUUAUAUGAGAAUAGAGGAAACAGCCCCAAUAUUAACCUUUGGUUUCUGAUACAUACUAAGUUCUGUUCCUGCUAGGACAACUCACUCGUUCUCCAAGUGAUGACUUGAGGACUCGGCAGCUUCUUCCAUUUUGAGUCUGUCGCCGUCUUCAAUGUGGACUUUGUAACACACUUCCACAUGAAGUAUAUAUUCAGAAAUUAAAACAACAUAAACAUACAUUUUAGGCCAUAGAUGAGGACGGAGACAUGAUAUGAGGUAAUAACUGCGCCUAUGAAGUGUUUGUUUUCAGUGAAAAAAUAAUGUAUGAGAAGAAGAAAGGAGGAACGGGGAGGAGGAAUGAGAAGGCUCUGGGGGUUCUGAAGAGUUGUCCCCAACUUUCACCACAGUGAUUAAGCAAUCACGAGACUGCCGAUAGUUUAGAAUUAGUAUCAAAUUCCUCAUCCCUCCUCCUCCUCAACUCCUCUGGCCUAAAUGAGAGAGAGAGCACACGAAUGGGUUCAAAAGCAUUGCACUGUUAAAAUAGCAGCAACCUUGGCCAAACUCUGCCCAGGUUUCAACAUGACCCCUCACAA